rnacentral:lncRNA from 1 species
UGAGCCCUUCAGAGGCUUCUCCGGGUACCAGUGACCCUCAUAUUUCUUCUUCAGCAGGCGCUCUAGCUCCUCACCGAACAGGUCCGCCCGCCUCCGAGGAAGCUUGUUGUACAGGUAUGAGAUGAUGAAGUUAAGAGCAACUUUAAUCUCCAGAUGCAUACUCCCUUCACAGCAAGCAAGUCAGGGCAGUGUAUUAAAAGAGACAAAAUGACACACACAUAGACAAGAUUUGGCUCCAAGCAGACUGUGUUCUCAGCUCCAGGCUCUAAGGGGGCCGGGGGAGCCCGAGCGCUGUGUGCCGCUCUCCGCCCCGUCCCUCGCUUCUCU